CACCGCAUGUCGGUCCCACUUCACCUUCUUUCACUACAAACCAACCUCACACCCCUAUGGGCCCUAUGUCACCUUCUCUCACCACAAAGCAACGUCAUACCCAUGCAGGCCCUAUGUCACGUUCUCUCUCUACAAACCAACCUCAAACCCCUCGCACCCCCACAGGCCCUACAUCACCUUCUCUCACCACAAACCAACCUCACACCCCUUUCUCUCCUCCUACCCCGUCAGGACCUGCAUCAUCGUCUUCCACCUCACACCGACCUCCAUACACUAACCAUGCAGACCCAUCUUCUCACCAAUCCUCCAUCACCCCAAAUGCUCAAG
rnacentral:lncRNA from 1 species